ACUUUUCGGUUUGUCACAUACUAUGAUUGCCAAUCAGGUAUUUUCCAAGCAACCUCGAGAAUAAUUUUAGUAUGCUGGAGUGGGGGAGCGCACUGCCUUGACAAUUUGAAGCUCCUCUGUUUUGAAUUCCAGAAUCCAUCUUUGCGAGGAACAUCAACCUUUACGAAGGACGUCUGAACGUGAAGAAAUCUGAAGCAGUUGAAGUGCAGUUACAAACGAAUACGAUCUGAAAACGGCGUUAGAGAGUCAUCUCUUCAAACACAGCACCAUGGUACGAUUGUUCCCAGCUGAGACGCCCGAAAGCUGUAUAAAUCACCUGCACCGUGAGGUUCACCUGCACCGUGAAGUUCACCUGUUGUUCAUCAUAUAAAAACUCGAUGCACGUCUGUGGAUUAAAUGUGAAUUCAGAGAGUAUCUAACAGGUCUUGACAUUGAAUUCAUAUUACAAAUGUCACAUUCGAAGCACAAGUUGGACUCAAA